rnacentral:rRNA from 1 species
UACGGAGGGUGCAAGCGUUAAUCGGAAUUACUGGGCGUAAAGCGCGCGUAGGCGGUUUUUUAAGUCGGAUGUGAAAGCCCUGGGCUCAACCUGGGAACUGCAUCCGAUACUGGAAGACUAGAAUGCGGGAGAGGGAGGUAGAAUUCCAUGUGUAGCAGUGAAAUGCGUAGAUAUAUGGAGGAAUACCAGUGGCGAAGGCGGCCUCCUGGCUCGACAUUGACGCUGAGGUGCGAAAGUGUGGGUAGCGAACAGG